rnacentral:lncRNA from 1 species
UUGGCUGGGUGGGCAUCACCUCCUGUGCUGAGGAGGGCCUGAAGCCCAGUCACCAUCCAUUAUGUCCUCACCAGGGCCCGCAAGUGUCUGCCCAGAGAGAGAGGAACAUUCAUAAAGCUACAUGGCACCUUCUGAUGCUGCCCCUGCCCCUGGUCUUCUAACUGGCAUGCUGAACGCCCUCUUCUACAUUCAGUGUAGUAGGGAUCCGAUUGUUGGCAGACAAUAGCAAAUCGUGUUCAUCUUUAUCUUGCAAGUGUGCUUUGACUUCCAAGCACACCCGGGCGUGCUCUACUGAGCCCCCUUGCUCGGCUAUCUGGAGGUCACCUUGGUGCAGAGCCCCAGGUUUGAACAGCCAACAGCCACCUCUCACUUUGGGCCUAGUUUUGUCUUUGGCCUGUGUCCCAGGUUCCUUGUCUCUGUUCCCUCUUCCUAGUCAGAUUCAGGGGUUGUUUACUUCCAUUUAAUUAUUCGGAAAGACUGUACAUGUUCUGCAUUUAAUAGGCUACUGAACACACGAGGCUCCUCCCUGAGCUGGAGUGGAAUACGGUAUUUGCUAGACCGACCGAGCUCCUCCGAGGGCGAUUACCUCCUGGGACUUUUCAAAAAUGCCUCAUCCCAAGGAACGCCCCAAGGGUCUAGAACUGCCCAUCCCAGGUCAACUGGGAAGAAGGAAAGACAAGACAAGAACGUACAACCUGCAAAUAAUAGUAAGGGAGUAAGUGGAAAUAUGAAAUAAAUACUGAUGCGCCUGCCCCAUCUGGUCACACAGUGCUUUGAAGAAAGGCCCUUCCUUUGGGGAAAAUGACAAAGAAUUCGGCCUUCAUCAUCAAUGCUGGAGAAUAAGACAGACCUGUUCACUUCCCCUUCGGCAUGUGACGUUUGGAACACAGAUUUACGUGAGGAGCAGGAAAAGAUCAUCUCGGGCUCCUGCUGCUGCUGUCCAGCCUCCCUGGCUCUGUGCGAAGAGUGUCCUCCCAAGGCACCUGGACGUCCCACCUUUGAGAGAGAUUUGCACACACCGUGACCCACGAGCAGGUCCUUGGGGCCAGAAGGAGCCUCCACUGUCAGCACAAGAGCAUCACCGCCAAGUCAGACAGCUUCUUGGAAAAUAAAAAGUGAAGUCACAGAACAAAACAAAAACUCUCUCUUCAAACUGCUGUCUCUCCCUGCCGUGUGAGGACAACAGUGGAAAAGCAGCCAUCUGCAAGCCAAGAAGAAAGCUCCAACCAGAACCCAGGCAUGCUGGCACCCACAUCUCAGAUGUUUAUCUUCCAGAACU